UGGACAUGCAUGAUGGGAAGAGAAAAUCUAUGAUAAUACAGAAACAAUGACCAACCCUUCACUAGUGAAAGCUUCUAGUGUCUAGACUGUGGACUCCAAGCACCAUUUCUCAUUAACUGCAACCAGGGUUCCUGGGAGAAAUGGCUGACUCUAGGUCUGGGACAAGCAAUGUAGCAGGUUUCUGGAACCCCUCUCCCUGGUCCAGUGGGUGAAUCUAGCCCGCAAACUGCAUAGGCGUUAAGUCAGUCCGAUUACACCCACGCUGUGCUGCGCAGGAGCCGUGCAGGCCGUCUUCAGCCUGUGUCACACGACCUUGCGUCCCCACGUCUCAUGACUGAAGACGCCAGUUGGACCUCUGCAGAGCAGGAAGAGGUGAAGGGCAGCUCGCUCUCACCCUCCCCCGCUGCAUUGCUUAGAGAUUGUGGGAAUAGUUAACGACCCUGGUCCUCGUCUCCCUCCACACGCAGAUAACAUCAGCUUCUCUGAACUUGUUUGAUGUGUGACUGAAGAUGCUUGUUUAUGUCACCCAGAUGCACCGUAUCCUUUUUUGACAUAGAUGAAACUUGGUCACAAAUUUUUUCCCUCUUCUCCUCUUCCCUGCACGUACACUGACUGCUCACACCCUCGGAGCAGUCCCCUCAGAGCACCCUGUGGAACUGGUUCUUGGGGUCCCACUCCUCACCCCGAGUAUUGAAUGAACUCCAUCACUAAUGUCACCAGGACCUUUCACUCAGUCAGCAGCAUACAACCUGUGUACCACCGCCCAGGGCAGGAUGUAGAAUAUUUCCCAUGCCUCCACCCCUUGUGCCCCUCCCUUGUCACAACCCUCCUCCUGGGAAAUGGCUAUGCUGAGGUCUACCACCAGAGAUAGAAGUAGGAUCCUAGUGGGUGGUCUUUUCUGUCCUGCUCUUUCACUCAUCAUGAUGUCUGGGAGAGUCACACUGUUGCUGCAGGUGGCAGGAGCUUAUUGCUUUUUGUUGCUGUGUAGUAUUCCAUUGUGUAAAUAUACUCAAGUUGCCUAUCUAUCCUAUUUGAUGGAAAGUUGAGUUGUUUCCAGUUCCCCACUAUUGUGAGUAGAAUGGCGAUGAACAUUCCCAGGAUUUAGAAAGGUACAGGGAGUGUGAUGCUGGGGUAAGAAUG
rnacentral:lncRNA from 1 species